GACGAAUGAUGGAGGAGGGAGGAACACAGGCAAGUCGAACGGUGAAGCGCCUUCCUUUUUGGUGGGUGUGGAUGAGUGGCGAACGGGUGAGUAACACGUGAGUAACCUGCCCCCUUCUUCUGGAUAACCGCAUGAAAGUGUGGCUAAUACGGGAUAUUCUGGGUCUGUCGCAUGAUGGGUCUGGGAAAGAUAUUGUUUCGGUGGGGGAUGGGCUCGCGGCCUAUCAGCUUGUUGGUGGGGUGAGGGCCUACCAAGGCGGUGACGGGUAGCCGGCCUGAGAGGGUGGACGGUCACACUGGGAGUGAGACACGGCCCAGACUCCUACGGGAGGCAGCAGUGGGGAAUAUUGCACAAUGGGCGCAAGCCUGAUGCAGCGACGCCGCGUGAGGGAUGGAGGCCUUCGGGUUGUGAACCUCUUUCGCCAGUGAAGCAGGCCUGCCUCGUUUGUGGGUGGGUUGACGGUAGCUGGAUAAGAAGCGCCGGCUACCUACGUG
rnacentral:rRNA from 1 species